rnacentral:rRNA from 1 species
AGCAGUCGCCGCGGUAAUACGUAGGUGGCAAGCGUUGUCCGGAAUUAUUGGGCGUAAAGGGCUCGCAGGCGGUUUCUUAAGUCUGAUGUGAAAGCCCCUGGCUCAACCGGGGAGGGUCAUUGGAAACUGGGAAACUUGAGUGCAGAAGAGGAGAGUGGAAUUCCACGUGUAGCGGUGAAAUGCGUAGAGAUGUGGAGGAACACCAGUGGCGAGGGCGACUCUCUGGUCUGUAACUGACGCUGAGGAGCGAAAGCGUGGGGAGCGAACAGGAUUAGAUACCCGCGUAGUCCCUGUCUCUUAUAC